CCUACGGGAGGCAGCAGUGAGGAAUAUUGGUCAAUGGGCGCGAGCCUGAACCAGCCAAGUAGCGUGAGGGAUGACUGCCCUACGGGUUGUAAACUUCUUUUAUAAGGGAAUAAAGUGCUUCACGUGUGCCUUUUUGUAUGUAUUUUAUGAAUAAGGAUCGGCUAACUCCGUGCCAGCAGCCGCGGUAAUACGGAGGAUCCGAGCGUUAUCCGGAUUUAUUGGGUUUAAAGGGAGCGUAGAGGGGUUGUUAAGUCAGUUGUGAAAGUUUUCGGCUCAACCGUAAAAUUGCAAUUGAUACUGGCGGCCUUGAGUACAGUUGAGGUAGGCGGAAUUCG
rnacentral:rRNA from 1 species